CACGUAGGGGCCAAGCGUUGUCCGGAUUCAUUGGGCGUAAAGAGCUCGUAGGCGGUUCAGUUAGUCGGGUGUGAAAUCUCCGGGCUCAACCCGGAGGGGCCACCCGAUACUGCUGUGACUCGAGUCCGGUAGGGGAGUGGGGAAUUCCUGGUGUAGCGGUGAAAUGCGCAGAUAUCAGGAGGAACACCAAUAGCGAAGGCAGCUCGCUGGGACGUUACCGACACUGAGGCGCGAAAGCGUGGGGAGCGAACAGG
rnacentral:rRNA from 1 species